AAGAUUUUAGUUUAAUUUUGAAUUUAGAAUUGUAAAUUCUAGGGUUUUUGUCUUG
rnacentral:tRNA from 1 species